AUCUCUGUAGAGUCUGCAUAUCAAUAAGCGGAGGAAAAGAAACUAACUAGGAUUCCCUCAGUAACGGCGAGUGAAGCGGGAAGAGCUCAAAUUUGAAAUCUUCAAGGUUCUACCUUGACGAAUUGUAGUUUAAAGAAGUGUUUUCUGUUGGAGUUUUGGUAAAAGUUCUUUGGAAUAGGACAUCAUAGAGGGUGAGAAUCCCGUAUUUGACCAUUAUUUCCAGCUUUGUGAUACACUUUCAAAGAGUCGGAUUGUUUGGGAAUGCAGUCCAAAAUGGGUGGUAAAUUUCAUCUAAAGCUAAAUAUUGGCGAGAGACCGAUAGCGAACAAGUACCGUGAGGGAAAGAUGAAAAGAACUUUGAAAAGAGAGUUAAACAGUACGUGAAAUUGUCAAAAGGGAAGCGUUUGACACCAGUGUUGUUUUCUCGAAAAUCAAUUAAAAAAGGCAGGAUUUUGUGUUGUAUUGACUUUAUCAGCUUUCUGCACUCUUUUCUUGUCUUUUUUAAUGCACUUUUCGUUUAACAAGUCAACAUCAAUUUCUUUUGUUGUAAAAGGGUCAUUGGAAGGUGGCUUUCUUUUCGGAGAAAGUGUUUAUAGCCUUUGGCCUCUGCAAUCGGAGAGAUUGAGGUCUGCAGCGUAGAUCCUUCGGGGUUAGAUACAUUUGUGCUAAGUUAUAGCCUUUCAUAGACAACUUGUUGACUAAGAUCAGUCAUGUAGCUUACUCGCUUAUGCUAUUUUACCUACGCUUAGGAUGUUGACGAUCAGCUGAGCGCG
rnacentral:rRNA from 1 species